rnacentral:rRNA from 1 species
AGGACGAACGCUGGCGGCGUGCUUAACACAUGCAAGUCGAGCGGAAAGGCCUUUCGGGGGUACUCGAGCGGCGAACGGGUGAGUAACACGUGAGUAAUCUGCCCAUCGCUUCAGGAUAGCCAUCGGAAACGGUGAUUAAUACUGGAUAUGACAUUCCUUCGCAUGUUGGGGUGUGGAAAGUUUUUUCGGCGGUGGAUGUGCUCGCGGCCUAUCAGCUUGUUGGUGGGGUAAUGGCCUACAAGGCUUUGGACGGGUAGCCGGCUGAGGAGGGUGACCGGCCACACGUGGGACUGAGACACGGCCCAGACCUCCGUACGGGACGGCAGCAGGUAGGGAAUAGUUGGACAAGGUGGACGGAAGCCUAGAUCCGAGCCAACGGCCGCGGU